rnacentral:pre_miRNA from 1 species
AGAGUGGAUUGCAGCCAGGGAUGACUUGCCGAUGAUUUUUUUGUAAUUUUCCUAUUAAGGAUUUUGUGUCGGCAAGUUGUCUCUGGCUACAUUUUGCUCUCU